CCUACGGGAGGCAGCAGUGGGGAAUAUUGGACAAUGGGCGCAAGCCUGAUCCAGCAAUGCCGCGUGAGUGAUGAAGGCCUUAGGGUCGUAAAGCUCUUUUACCAGGGAUGAUAAUGACAGUACCUGGAGAAUAAGCUCCGGCUAACUCCGUGCCAGCAGCCGCGGUAAUACGGAGGGAGCUAGCGUUGUUCGGAAUUACUGGGCGUAAAGCGUACGUAGGCGGUUAUUCAAGUCAGAGGUGAAAGCCCGGGGCUCAACCCCGGAACGGCCUUUGAAACUAGGUAGCUAGAAUCUUGGAGAGGUCAGUGGAAUUCCGAGUGUAGAGGUGAAAUUCGUAGAUAUUCGGAAGAACACCAGUGGCGAAGGCGACUGACUGGACAAGUAUUGACGCUGAGGUACGAAAGCGUGGGGAGCAAACAGGAUUAGAUACCCUGGUAGUCCACGCCGUAAACGAUGAUAACUAGCUGUCCGGGCACUUGGUGCCUGGGUGGCGCAGCUAACGCAUUAAGUUAUCCGCCUGGGGAGUACGGUCGCAAGNUUAAAACUCAAAUGAAUUGACGG
rnacentral:rRNA from 1 species